rnacentral:rRNA from 1 species
UACGGGGGGAGCAAGCGUUGUUCGGAUUUACUGGGCGUAAAGGGCGCGUAGGCGGCCUCUGCAAGUCGACUGUGAAAUCUCCGGGCUUAACCCGGAAAGGUCAGCCGAUACUGCUGAGCUAGAGUACAGAAGGGGCAACCGGAAUUCCCAGUGUAGCGGUGAAAUGCGUAGAUAUUGGGAAGAACACCUGAGGCGAAGGCGGGUUGCUGGGCUGAUACUGACGCUGAGGCGCGAAAGCCAGGGGAGCAAACGGG